GUGCUCGGUUUGUAGGCAGUGUAAUUAGCUGAUUGUCCUCUGGCGCUUACAAUCACUAAAUCCACUGCCAUCAAAACAAGGCAC
ensembl:miRNA